rnacentral:rRNA from 1 species
AUUGAACGCUGGCGGCAUGCCUAACACAUGCAAGUCGAACGGCAGCGCGGGGGCAACCCUGGCGGCGAGUGGCGGACGGGUGAGGAAUGCAUAGGAAUCUGCCCGGUUGUGGGGGAUAACGUAGGGAAACUUACGCUAAUACCGCAUACGACCUUCGGGUGAAAGUGGGGGACCUUCGGGCCUCACGCGAUCGGAUGAGCCUAUGCCCGAUUAGCUAGUUGGCGGGGUAAGCGCCCACCAAGGCGACGAUCGGUAGCUGGUCUGAGAGGAUGAUCAGCCACACUGGGACUGAGACACGGCCCAGACUCCUACGGGAGGCAGCAGUGGGGAAUAUUGGACAAUGGGCGCAAGCCUGAUCCAGCAAUGCCGCGUGUGUGAAGAAGGCCUUCGGGUUGUAAAGCACUUUUGUUCGGGAAGAAAUCCGUGUGGUUAAUACCCGUACGGGAUGACGGUACCGAAAGAAUAAGCACCGGCUAACUUCGUG